rnacentral:rRNA from 1 species
GACGAACGCUGGCGGCGUGCUUAACACAUGCAAGUCGAACGGAAAGGCCUCUUUCGGGGGGUACUCGAGUGGCGAACGGGUGAGUAACACGUGAGUAACCUGCCCUUGACUUUGGGAUAACUUCAGGAAACUGGGGCUAAUACCGGAUAGGAGCUCCUGCUGCAUGGUGGGGGUUGGAAAGUUUCGGCGGUUGGGGAUGGACUCGCGGCUUAUCCGCUUGUUGGUGAGGUAGUGGCUUACCAAGGCUUUGCCGGGUAGCCGGCCUGAGAGGGUGACCGGCCACAUUGGGACUGAGAUACGGCCCAGACUCCUACGGGAGGCAGCGGUGGGGAAUAUUGCACAAUGGGUGGAAGCCUGAUGCAGCAACGCCGUGUGCGGGAUGACGGCCUUCGGGUUGUAAACCGCUUUCGCUCAUGACGAAGCUUUGUGUGACGGUAGUGGGUAAAGAAGCACCGGCUAACUACGUG